GGCGACGACGGGUWAGCCGGCYKRRGAGGGSCGACCGGSCCACACUGGGRACUGARGACACGGCCCAGAYUCYUACGGGARGGCAGSMRKKGGGAAUWHUGCACAAUGGNCGCAAGCCUGAUGCAGCGACGCNGCGUGAGGGAUGACGGCCUUCGGGUUGUAAACCUYCUUUCAGCAGGGACGAAGCGCAARGUGACGGUACCUGCAGAAGAARGCACCGGCCMAACUACGUGCCAGCAGCCGCGGUAAUACGUAGGGUGCAAGCGUUGUCCGGAAWUUACUGGGCGUAAAGAGCUCGUAGGCGGUUUGUCGCGUCGUCUGUGAAAACCAGCAGCUCAACUGUUGGCUUGCAGGCGAUACGGKGCAGACUUGAGUAUUUCAGGGGRAGACUGGAAUUCCUGGUGUAGCGGUGAAAUGCGCAGAUAUCAGGAGGAACACCGGUGGCGAAGGCGGGUCUCUGGGAAAUAACUGACGCUGAGGAGCGAAAGCGUGGGUAGCGAACAGGAUUAGAUACCCUGGUAGUCCACGCCGUAAACGGUGGGCGCUAGGUGUGGGUUUCCUUCCACGGGAUCCGUGCCGUAGCUAACGCAUUAAGCGCCCCGCCUGGGGAGUACGGCCGCAAGGCUAAAACUCAAAGGAAUUGACGGGGGCCCGCA
rnacentral:rRNA from 1 species